rnacentral:rRNA from 1 species
GACGAACGCUGGCGGCGUGCUUAACACAUGCAAGUCGAACGGGUCUGCCCUGUUUUUUGCGGGGUGGGUCAGUGGCGAACGGGUGAGUAACACGUGAGUAACCUGCCCCUCACUUCUGGAUAACCGCUUGAAAGGGUGGCUAAUACGGGGUGUUCUGGCUGUGCCGCAUGGUGUGGCUGGGAAAGAUUCACUUUUGUGGUGUUUUGGUGGGGGAUGGGCUCGCGGCCUAUCAGCUUGUUGGUGGGGUGAUGGCCUGCCAAGGCUUUGACGGGUAGCCGGCCUGAGAGGGUGGGCGGUCACACUGGGGCGGAGAGACGGCCCAGACUCCGGGGGGAGGCAGCAGGGGGGGGUAUUGCACAAUGGGCGGAAGCCUGAUGCAGCGACGUCGCGUGAGGGAUGGAGGCCUUCGGGUUGUGAACCUCUUUCGCCGGUGAAGAAGGUCCUGCUCUUUGUGGUGGGGUUGACGGUAGCCGGGUUAUGAAGCGCCGGCUAACUACGUG